rnacentral:misc_RNA from 1 species
AUUUAAAUUCUGGUUGUUCUAGCUCUUGUGCUACAUUGCUUCUUGCAACUAUGGAGCGUUAUGAGAUUGUGAAAGAUAUUGGGUCUGGGAAUUUUGGGGUAGCCAAGCUGGUUAGAGAUAGAUGGACUAAAGAGCUAUUUGCUGUUAAGUUUAUUGAGAGAGGCUUGAAAGUCUGUUUUUUUUUUUUUUUUCUUUCAUUGAAGCAUCUCAAUAUAGUUAGAUUCAAAGAGGUCUUGUUAACACCUACUCAUCUGGCCAUAGUCAUGGAGUAUGCUGCAGGAGGCGAACUUUUUGAGAGGAUAUGUAACACUGGUAGAUUUAGCGAAGAUGAGGCAAGGUUUUUCUUCCAGCAAUUGAUAUCAGGAGUUAGUUACUGCCAUUUAAUGCAAAUUUGUCAUAGAGAUCUUAAGCUUGAAAAUACACUCCUAGAUGGCAGCAUAGCACCGCGAGUGAAGAUAUGUGACUUUGGGUAUUCAAAGUCUGCUGUGUUUCAUUCUCAACCAAAGUCUACGGUAGGAACACCAGCUUAUAUUGCACCUGAGGUUCUGUCUAAAAAGGAAUAUGAUGGAAAGAUUGCAGAUGUUUGGUCUUGCGGAGUUACCCUGUAUGUGAUGCUAGUUGGGGCAUAUCCCUAUGAAGAUCCUGAUGAUCCCAAAAACUUAAGAAAAACUAUUGGGAGAAUACUGAGUGUCCGCUACACAAUUCCAGAUUAUGUUCGAGUUUCUAUGGAGUGCAGGCACCUAUUGUCUCGAAUAUUUGUGGCAAAUCCUGAAAAGAGAAUAACCAUUCCAGAAAUUAAAAAUCAUCCUUGGUUCUUAAAGAACUUGCCGAUCGAGCUGAUGGAAGGAGGCAGCUGGCAAAACAAUGAUGUGAAUAACCCGUCACAGAGCAUUGAAGAAGUUCUGUCUAUAAUACAAGAGGCAAGAAAACCUGUCGAGCUGCCAAAGACUGAAGGCAAUAUUCUUGGAGGGAGCAUGGAUCUUGAUGACGUAGAUGCUGAUGUUGAUUAUGAAGAUAUCGAGACAAGUGGAGAAUUCGUGUGCCCUUUAUGAGCCAAGUGAAUAAACAAAACACACUUUCUUGAGGCACUGAUCCAUGAUUAAGAGCAUCAGAUUUCUGUUAAUGGAUGAUUUCCCUCGUGUAAUCCUUGUUUCGCCGCAUGGCAUGGCAAUUCCCUUUUGUAAAGAGAAUUGGUCAUUAUUGGAGGCACUAUGAGUAUGUGAGAACAUUUUUUAUUCCUGUAAAAAAUAGGAGAGGUUGGGAGGGUUGGAUUGGAAUAGUAGUUCUUCGACCGACCAAAUCGUUAUAAAAUAAGCCAAUUAAAGUGUCACACGUUAACUGCGGGGCG